rnacentral:miRNA from 1 species
UGGUGAGCCAAUUCGGAUCC